ensembl:lncRNA
ACCAGGAUUGGAUCCUAGGCAGUCUCCUGAGCCUGGCUCCUGACCCCCAGGCCCUGUGUGUUGAAGAGUAAGUAUGCAAAUGGCAACCAACUGCACAUCUGCCAGGCCCUGCAUUUGGCUGUGGGGAUUGUUUAAGGGAUAACAGUAUGCAGAGAUCUACAGAGCGACACCUCAAGAGGUUGCAUCAUGCUGUCCCAUCCACCUUGAUGGGGAUAUGGACUGGAAAAGGCAGCCAGUGUGCAACCAGUGCCCCUCUUCCUGAAGGAAACAGCUCUAUGGGGUCCAAAAUAUGGCUGAUGCUUCCUACAUCAGCCUGGUCUCCUGGUGCCUCCCUACAGCUGCCACACUGCCAUGGGAGCAUGAUGUCCUGACACAGGUGGACAGAAGGCCUUUAUUUUAAGAGUGGAGCUGGGUUUCAUUUCCACAGUUAUGUCUCAUCAUUGUCAAGUCACAAGAUUGGGCUGUUUUUCCUUCUGCAGAUGCAAAGUGAGAAAAUAAGUCUUCAUUCACAGGCUGUUUUACCAUCCCAUGAGGAAAUGCCUGGAAGUCUAGCAGAGAGAUGUAAAUGAGUUCCUGCUGAUGACCCAAGGAGAGGUUGAGAACCCACUGCUGAGAGUUGAAGGUUCAGAGACCCUCAACGUGUAUAGGACACCAGAACCAGCCUUCAAGGUGGGGCUGAGCAAUGGCACUUCUGAAUGCCAGGGAGCUAAAGACAGAGACAGAUCUGUCAAGGAGGCAUCUGGGGCAGUAGAGCCAAGGCACCAAGGCAGGGAGUGACCUGUGCCCCUUCUAGGCAUGGAGGCCAGGAGCUGUUCCCAGAUGAGAUGAGAUGGUCACAGAGUCAGACCAGGAGCUUCUGCUGCCCUGCUGGCCUGAAGGCCCUGGCACAUGGUUUGUGUUCUCAGAAGGGCUGUGUGCUGGCAGAGGGGCUAUAGUUACAGGGCACAGUGAAGGACACCCCACAUGGUGUGGCUGCAUCCUUGCACUGUAGAAGGGAGUGGAGUGGAGUAUGUGAGGCCUGGGGUAGGCCAGGGUUACUCUUCAUGGGCUGGGUCAGAUGUGGCCAGAUGGGGGUACAUCAUGUGGCCCCUGAGUUCCAGGCAGGGUGAGAAGGUGGGGGCAGAGAGCCUGUAGAAAUCGAAUGGCCCAUGCUCACUUAGGCAGCACAUAUACUAAAGAUGAAAUUGGGUGGUGGCCCAGGAUGGCGUAUAUGAGUAGGUGGCCAGGUAUGUCCCUGAGAACCAUGGGGAAGGCAAGAUGCCCUGGUCUGCAGGGAGUCUGUGAGGAAACUGAGUGCUUGGAGUCAUUUGGAAAAGGAAGAAGGGAAACUUGGGAGCAUGGAUGUUCCACUGGUAGGGUGCUGAACCCUUACACAUGUUGUCUCUGGGGUGUCAUGAAAUCACAGGAGGGAGGGAGUUUGUGUUGUCCCAGAGGCCAAAGUGUGGAUUAUAUCAUCUCCUUUGGAAACCUAAGAGAAUCAAGUGUAGGGUCAAGAAUGAAUAUACA